rnacentral:rRNA from 1 species
GAUCAUGGCUCAGGAUGAACGCUAGCUACAGGCUUAACACAUGCAAGUCGAGGGGAAACGACAUCGAAAGCUUGCUUUUGAUGGGUGUCGACCAGCGCACGGGUGAGUAACGCGUAUCCAACCUGCCCACCACUUGGGGGAUAACCUUGCGAAAGUAAGACUAAUACCCAAUGACGUCUCUAGAAGACAUCUGAAAGAGAUUAAAGAUUUAUCGGUGAUGGAUGGGGAUGCGU